rnacentral:rRNA from 1 species
GACGAACGCUGGCGGCGUGCUUAACACAUGCAAGUCGAACGGAAAGGCCCUGCUUUUGUGGGGUGCUCGAGUGGCGAACGGGUGAGUAACACGUGAGUAACCUGCCCUGGACUUUGGGAUAACUUCAGGAAACUGGGGCUAAUACCGGAUAGGAGCUCCUGCUGCAGGGGGGGGGUUGGAAAGUUUCGGCGGUUGGGGAUGGACUCGCGGCUUAUCAGCUUGUUGGUGGGGUAGUGGCUUACCAAGGCUUUGACGGGUAGCCGGCCUGAGAGGGUGACCGGCCACAUUGGGACUGAGAUACGGCCCAGACUCCUACGGGAGGCAGCAGUGGGGAAUAUUGCACAAUGGGCGGAAGCCUGAUGCAGCAACGCCGCGUGCGGGAUGACGGCCUUCGGGUUGUAAACCGCUUUCGCCUGUGACGAAGCGUGAGUGACGGUAAUGGGUAAAGAAGCACCGGCUAACUACGUG